UGACCAGGUUGCUGUUCCUCCUGUUCCUCCCGACGGAGUCUCUUCUCUUCACCUCAUUGCUUCACAAUGUCUUCACCUACACAGACCUUCGGCUUCCUCCUCCUCUGGUUCUGGUUCUCAAAUCAGAUCCUGACGGGAGCAGCGGCAAAAGCCUGCAGGAUGCCGAGGAUGAUGAUCCUGUUUCUCCUCAUCUUGCCUCAGUUUCAAGCUAAGAGUGUACAAUUUCAACCAACUGAUCCAAAAGUAGUCAACAUGGCGGACGAUGUGGAUUUCCACUGCCGUCACAACGACAGCGGUCUAAAUGUUAUGCUCUGGUACCAGCAAACAGACACCGGUGCUAUAGAGCUGAUAGGAUACAGCUACAUCGGGAGUGAAGCGGUCUAUGAGAAAGCCUUUGAAAGCAGGUUCAAGAUUACAAGAAAAGACACCCAGACAGGAGGCUUGAACAUCGACGGAGCCUCUGCCUCAGACUCUGCCGUGUAUUUCUGCGCUGGCAGUACACAGUGAUGUGGUUUAAUGAAACCUCAUGACUAAAAGUCCUACCAUUUCAUUCUGAUGCGUUUAGAAAAGCUUCAAGUUGGGUUGCCUUUGUCUAAUGAGAACCGAUUUCUAUGAAAUCACUCGACUGCAUUUGUGAUUUUAGUCGUUUUUCCUUAUAUGUUCUUUUUGUUUCAUCAUUUUGCUUUUAUUGUAACAUAAUAGUUGAUGUUCUUAAAGCACUUUGACUGCCUGGUGACGGCCAAACUCAAAUGACUGCCAUGUUGAAUUUACUGACAUUUUUGCAAAGAUUAGCAGUGUGAAAAUCAACCCACCUGUUAAAGAUAGGAUCUUUAAUUCAAAGGAUCUUGACAUUUGUACCAUUUCAAAGAAAUGCUAUUUUCUAAACAUGGACACUAGUGUCUUUUUGAACAUGCUACUAUUAACUGUGUUUCCAUUUA